rnacentral:rRNA from 1 species
AGUGAACGCUGGCGGUAGGCCUAACACAUGCAAGUCGAACGGCAGCACAGUAAGAGCUUGCUCUUACGGGUGGCGAGUGGCGGACGGGUGAGGAAUACAUCGGAAUCUACUUUUUCGUGGGGGAUAACGUAGGGAAACUUACGCUAAUACCGCAUACGACCUACGGGUGAAAGCAGGGGAUCUUCGGACCUUGCGCGAUUGAAUGAGCCGAUGUCGGAUUAGCUAGUUGGCGGGGUAAAGGCCCACCAAGGCGACGAUCCGUAGCUGGUCUGAGAGGAUGAUCAGCCACACUGGAACUGAGACACGGUCCAGCCUCCUACGGGAGGCAGCAGUGGGGAAUAUUGGACAAUGGGCGCAAGCCUGAUCCAGCCAUACCGCGUGGGUGAAGAAGGCCUUCGGGUUGUAAAGCCCUUUUGUUGGGAAAGAAAAGCAGCAGGUUAAUACCCCGCUGUUCUGACGGUACCCAAAGAAUAAACACCGGCUAACUUCGU